rnacentral:rRNA from 1 species
ACUCCUACGGGAGGCAGCAGUGGGGAAUAUUGCACAAUGGGCGCAAGCCUGAUGCAGCCAUGCCGCGUGUGUGAAGAAGGCCUUCGGGUUGUAAAGCACUUUCAGUUGUGAGGAAGGUGGUGUCGUUAAUAGCGGCAUCAUUUGACGUUAGCAACAGAAGAAGCACCGGCUAACUCCGUGCCAGCAGCCGCGGUAAUACGGAGGGUGCGAGCGUUAAUCGGAAUUACUGGGCGUAAAGCGCAUGCAGGUGGUUUGUUAAGUCAGAUGUGAAAGCCCGGGGCUCAACCUCGGAACUGCAUUUGAAACUGGCAGACUAGAGUACUGUAGAGGGGGGUAGAAUUUCAGGUGUAGCGGUGAAAUGCGUAGAGAUCUGAAGGAAUACCGGUGGCGAAGGCGGCCCCCUGGACAGAUACUG